GGCGAAGUGACUACAUAGGCCUUUCCUCCCUCCCGGCAGGCGCGCUGCUCUCAGCAAGCAAUUAGCAGGUCAAUUUACAGCAUGCAAUAAAGAAAACACUCCCUAUCAGCUGCUGCAAGUUAUUACAGAUUUUCGACGUGCAUUAAAUGAGUGCACCCGGCCUUUCCAACGGACAGCGCGACCUCCAGCUACAACCGUGUCACCCAAUUUCGCGUUCAAGGUGCUAACCCACUCUUGUGCAAACUGCAUGGAUCCCUGCCUGAGUCUGGAAGCCCACUCUUACAGACCUCUGCCAGGCCCCACUGUUAGAGACAGGUGAAUAUUUAUCUUCCUUGAGGAUUCUCAGCCAUAACCAUGGAGAUGCUGGUGGAGGAAG
ensembl:lncRNA